rnacentral:rRNA from 1 species
UGAGGAAUUUUGCGCAAUGGGAGCAAUCCUGACGCAGCAACGCCGCGUGGGUGAUGAAGGCCUUCGGGUCGUAAAGCCCUGUCAGGUGGGAAGAAUGUCCCGGGACUGAACAGGUUCCGGGAGUGACGGUACCACCAGAGGAAGCACCGGCUAACUCCGUGCCAGCAGCCGCGGUAAUACGGAGGGUGCAAGCGUUAUUCGGAAUUCCUGGGCGUAAAGCGCGUGUAGGCGGUCCUGCAAGUCGGAGGUGAAAGCCCCGGGCUUAACCCGGGAAGUGCAUUGGAAACUGUGGGACUUGAGUACUGGAGAGGAUGGGGGAAUUCCCGGUGUAGAGGUGAAAUUCGUAGAGAUCGGGAGGAAUAUCAGUGGCGAAGGCGCCCAUCUGGACGGUAACUGACGCUGAGACGCGAAAGCGUGGGGAGCAAACA